AGUGAACGCUGGCGGUAGGCCUAACACAUGCAAGUCGAACGGCAGCACAGUAAGAGCUUGCUCUUACGGGUGGCGAGUGGCGGACGGGUGAGGAAUACAUCGGAAUCUACUUUUUCGUGGGGGAUAACGUAGGGAAACUUACGCUAAUACCGCAUACGACCUACGUGUGAAAGCAGGAGAUCUUCGGACCUUGCGCGACUGAAUGAUCCGCUGUCGGAUUAUCUAGUUGGCGGGGUAAAGGCCGACCAAGGCGACGAUCCAUAGCUGGUCUGAGAGGAUGGUCAGCCACACUGGAACUGAGAGACGGUCCAGCCACCUACGGGAGGCAGCAGUGGGGAAUAUUGGACAAUGGGCGCAAGCCUGAUCCAGCCAUACCGCGUGGGUGAAGAAGGCCUUCGGGUUGUAAAGCCCUUUUGUUGGGAAAGAAAAGCAGCAGGUGAAUACCCCGCUGUUCUGACGGUACCCAAAGAAUAAGCACCGGCUAACUUCGU
rnacentral:rRNA from 1 species